rnacentral:rRNA from 1 species
UACGGGGGGGGCAAGCGUUGUUCGGAAUUACUGGGCGUAAAGGGCCAGUAGGCGGCCAACUAAGUCGGAUGUGAAAUCCCCAGGCUUAACCUGGGAACUGCAUCCGAUACUGGAUGGCUUGAAUUCGGGAGAGGGAUGCAGAAUUCCAGGUGUAGCGGUGAAAUGCGUAGAUAUCUGGAGGAAUACCGGUGGCGAAGGCGGCAUCCUGGACCGACAUUGACGCUGAGUGAGCGAAAGCCAGGGGAGCAAACGGG